UACGUAGGGGGCAAGCGUUGUCCGGAUUUAUUGGGCGUAAAGAGCGUGUAGGCGGCCAAGCAGGUCCGCUGUGAAAACUCGAGGCUCAACCUCGAGACGUCGGUGGAAACCGUUUGGCUAGAGUCCGGAAGAGGAGAGUGGAAUUCCCGGUGUAGCGGUGAAAUGACGCAGAUAUCGGGAAGAACACCCGUGGCGAAGGCGGCUCUCUGGGACGGUACUGACGCUGAGACGCGGAAAGCGUGGGGAGCGGAACAGGA
rnacentral:rRNA from 1 species